GCGGAGGGUGAUGGGAGUGGCACUAAUCAGGCCGGGGGUGUCCGCUGCAGUGGCAUCGGGGACCCCCGGUCCGAACCCAACCUGAGGACACCUGGGCAGUACAGGGGCCAUCUGACCCACA